UGUCAUUUAAUAAAUCGCAACGCAAUGUCAUUGUCAUUUAAUAAAUCGCAAGUGCAAUGUCAUUGUCAUUUAAUAAAUCGCAAGUGCAAUGCCAUUGUCAUUUAAUAAAUCGCAAUUGCAAUGCCGUUGUCAUUUAAUAUAUUUAUUUAUUUAUUUAGCUUUGCCAACUAGGGCAGGGUCACCACAACAGCAUAUGCCAAUUACUGUGGGCCCUUUUCUUACCUAACCCACCCUGUCAACUUUCCCUGUGGGAGGAAACCGGAGUACCCGGGGAAAACCCACGGCUUUCGGCAGAGCGUCGACUUUUACUCUUUUCACAUGGGGACUGGGUUCGAGUCGCACUGAGAAGGUACUUAGUGAGACUCGAACCUGCAGCCUCAGAGGUGAAAGGCAAGUGCGCUAACCACUUGGC